AGUGAACGCUGGCGGUAGGCCUAACACAUGCAAGUCGAACGGCGGCACAGUAAGAGCUUGCUCUUACGGGUGGCGAGUGGCGGACGGGUGAGGAAUACAUCGGAAUCUACUUUUUCGUGGGGGAUAACGUAGGGAAACUUACGCUAAUACCGCAUACGACCUACGGGUGAAAGCAGGGGAUCUUCGGACCUUGCGCGAUUGAAUGAGCCGAUGUCGGAUUAGCUAGUUGGCGGGGUAAAGGCCCACCAAGGCGACGAUCCGUAGCUGGUCUGAGAGGAUGAUCAGCCACACUGGAACUGAGACACGGUCCAGACUCCUACGGGAGGCAGCAGUGGGGAAUAUUGGACAAUGGGCGCAAGCCUGAUCCAGCCAUACCGCGUGGGUGAAGAAGGUCUUCGGGUUGUAAAGCCCUUUUGUUGGGAAAGAAAAGCAGCAGGUUAAUACCCCGCUGUUCUGACGGUACCCAAAGAAUAAGCACCGGCUAACUUCGUG
rnacentral:rRNA from 1 species